AUCUUUUAGGAGACAUCCAUAAAUUGGAAUGAUACAGAGAAGAUUAGCAUGGACCCUGCACAAGGAAAACACACAAAUCGAGAAAAAAGGUGGGUAAGCAA